AACUAUUGAUGGAAUGAUGUUUGUUAAGGUUCAAACAUGAUAAGUGAUGAUUAGAGUAACUUGGGGUUUAAUGGAAUUUAACUUGUUUUUGAAAAAUCAAAGAUUGGAUUUUUGAAGUAUAAGGAACACUAUUUUUGUUUAUAAAAUCUGAAGCAAGAAUGCUAUUUUUGAUCCCUUUGCGCUCUGAAUUGGUUCUUGUCGUAAACAUGAAUGUUGUAGCCCUUUUUCUUAGCUUUCCAACGCAUUCUUACGUGUUUUAAUCGGAUGCUUGUAGCUCCAGUUUCGGCUUGUACAGUANNNNNNNNNNNNNNNNNNNNNNNNNNNNAGAAUUCUGCAGGAUGAACAGUACACGUAUAAUGCUACUGUAGCUGGCCGACACAACCCCUUUUGUUGAUUUAUGUACCCGGAACCUAUUUUGCUCAGUUUUUCGUGUAGAUUCCGAUUCCGGAGUUUGUUUUAUGAGAUGAUCUUGGUUAUUGGUGUUUGCUUAUAUUUUGGUAAUAAAGCAUGCUAAAUUAGUUUUGAUUAAUUGAAUUAAAUAACUAAUUGAUGUUGAUUAGUUUUAGUAUCUUUUGAGUAUGGAAUAAAUGUAUUUUCCAUGAGUUGAUGAUGAUAAGUAUGUUGUUAAGUCUUGUUGAUACAUUAUGUGUUGUUGAUUAAUGAUGAUGUAUUGAUGAUGAAUCAUAAUAUUAUUGAUUUAUGAUGUUGAUUUAAUUGAUGAUGAUAAAUAAUGAUUUAUCAUGAGUAGAUGUAUUCUAAAGACGGUGAUUUAGAAUAUUUGGAUUAUGUUAUCCAUAUUAUGUUGAUGUUAUAGUUGAGAUAAAACCAUAUAUUUGGUGGAUGCACAUUUCAUGCAUUCAUAAGUUGAGUCUAUUGAUGAGUAUCCUAGAGACGAU
rnacentral:lncRNA from 1 species